CACCUUUUCGACUACUGAUGGCGUGAUGGUAGAUUACAUCCUAACCGCCGAAGGCACCCGGGCAACUUACGUUGUAGUACCGCUGCAAGGUACCAACUAUGGGGGCAUUGUUGCCGUUGUCAAACCACCAGGACCGUAUCCUUGCAGCAUUGAGAGCCGGGUUGACGCCGCACGAAGAACUUUUGAAUACAAACGUGAGGGAGUUAAUGUGCUGUUGUCCCCCGUUGGUGAUGAACAGAUCCUGCGGUUUGUGCAAUCGGGGCCCGGCUGGUGUGAUAUCUAGGGGUGGACGGAUGGAUAGAUGGGGCGUCCCAAAAUAAGCGGGAUGUCAAAAUGCGCCCGUCAAAAUGACUGCCCAACUCCUACUGCUGUCCUACAACCAACGGGGCUAGGGUAAGUGAACUGGAAAUCCUAAGUUGCUCCCCUUUGUUUUCCACACUAUACCCCGCACCUUACAUCUCCCAAACCUUGCUUACUACCCAGGUUCAUACAUCGAUGGGAGAAGCAGCAGCGGAUACAUAGGCAGUAUGAAGGGGGCGGAAGCACACACGCUGGCAAACAAUCUAUUCAAAUUUUGUACAGGCGAUGGGAUCAGGAUGCGUAUGCCGUGCUGCUGUAUAUCUGUUCCGCGGUAAUGCGUAGACUCGUCGAGUCGAUACGAGCCGAUAGCUAGCAACAAACUGUGCUUGAGCACAAUAUAACAACGAAGCCACGUUCGCUAUUUGUUGCUGAAAUGAAAGCAUGAGCAUUGCACGUCGCUUGCCCUGUGUCGCGAAAGAUAGGCGUGAAUGAUGAGGUCUGCGGGUGUCGUAUCUUGGGGGUGUGUAUCACGGGAUCUGACCUCCACCAAUCGGUACGUUUCUGUUCGUCGUGAUACGACAGUGCGCUUACGUUAGGUCGGCUGAAAGCAAUGCAAGCUUAUAAGAGCUCCAACGAUGCCGUGACAACGGGCGGG
rnacentral:lncRNA from 1 species